AUGCUUUUCUCCAGUGUCAUCCUCCGGCCAGCGAGGGUCCUCAGAGCUUUUAUGAAGUCCUGGUUUAAUAGUUUCGGACUGCUGCUGUGUCUCAGAAGUGGGCCCAACUCAGGCCAAAGCAUCAAAGAGAAGGAAAGCCAUGCCCAGUGUGCAGUCAGCUUGGGUUUAUGGAGAAAAAUUGAAGAAAGGGCAAAGAAGAAAAUGAAAGCCACCCAUAAUCCUACCACUCAGAUGCAACCUCUUGUAACAUUUGAUGUUUAGAUGACUUGAUUAAUUCUAGAAAAGGAAUAAUACAAAGUCAUUUUCAUAUUCAGAGCUGAAAUUCCACUAUCUAUGGUGUAAUAGAGAUUUUGUCAUGAAAGUUAAAUAGAAAACUGAAAAAUACAUUUAUGUUAUGUUUCACAAAAUUUAGGUUUGUAAAGGUAGCAAGCAAGUACAUUUGAAUACUGAGUGAGUAACAAGCUGAUGAUGAUGUGAUUUGGCACCCUUGAGAGCAUUUUUCUUCACAUUUGUACACUACAGACUAAAAGACCAUUGUGCAAAGUAGAUGAAGGCUUUGAAAAUGUCUCUCAAAGCCCUCUCUUAGUUUUUUAUAUUCAUAUUUUUCUUGUGUUCGCUAUUUUAUCAUUACCUUAUUUUGCCAAUUUUCUCACUAAGCUCCCUCUUCUCCGUGAGGCCACUUAACAGUGAAGGUCCAGGGCACCACCAUCUAUGCCAAGAACUGUAAAUUUUAUGUGCCAACUACUGAUUUUUGCAUUUUUCCAAGACUAGGUUUUUCAAGUCACUAAGCUCCCUCCUCUUGGUGAGGACAGCUGGAGUCCCAUAAGCAAAAUCUUUGAUGAGUUUUUAUUUCUAAUGAGUGUUAAUAUUAUAUUUGCACAAGUAAUUUAAAUUUUAGAAUGUUAAUCCAUCAUAUGCAGUUUUAGAUCUUUUACCUCUCCAUCUGUCAGGGAAAGAAUUGGCAAGAGUAGAGGUGACUCAUAAGAUGGUAAUUUUUUCUAGUCUUCUGCUAUUUCCCUUGCAGUAUGAAUGUCAUGGAUAUUCUGUCUGCUUGGGCAGAAAGUUUCUCAUUAUGGUCUUCUGCUAUUAUUUUUAGUAAACUUUUUACCCUGAGUCAAGUAAGUUAGUUGAUUUUCUUUAAGAACUGAAAACAGCUAAGAUUGGUUCCAUUGUACUAGGCCCUGUGAAAUAUGGAAUUCACUCUCCUUCUAGUGCAUAAAAACAAAGAUAGUAUAGUGAGAUAGUACAACACAGCCAGAUUAAUAAAGUAAUAUGCAAAAUAAAAAGCAUAGUUUGAAUAUCAUGGAUUUCACUGAUGUGUAGCUUAUUACUGUUACCACCUCCAAGGGAGUGCCUAUGGCUUUUUUGGGCUUGCAGUUUCUUUAAUAUCUCUUUGCCUAAUUCUGACAUGUUAUCUGAUAAUAUAAUGGAAACACAUUGUGCAAAGGAUCAAGGCUAAUUUUCUUUAUUUAAAACUAAGGAAAAAUUUCCUUUAGAUCUAAAAAACCUUCUCCUAUUACCCUAAGCAUCUAAACCUAGGAGAUGGCCUACCUGCAUGACUUUGCCCUGACCCCUGAGAGUUCUCUUUAUAACUUCGGCCAGCACACUUGGUGACUUGUUAUCUUUUGCAUUUGUGACCUAUAGCACUGAGAAGUAUCCAGAUAGAUCCAGGGCUCCAGAAAUGUCUACACAACAUCAUCCUCUGGGUCCUCUACAGAUUCAGAUCAUCAGUUCUGUUGGAUGCCCACAUUAAAAAUUCAAUAUCUCUACCAGGAUCUGGUAGAGUCAUUGAUUGUGUAGCCUCUGGAGUGACACUGGUUUGAACAUUAGGUCUGUUACCUACAAGCAGUGUAAAUAGUAUCUUUGGGCAAGUUAUUAAACUUUCUGCUUCAACCCCCUCAUCUGUAAAGUAAUGAUAAUACUAAGGUAAAAUGAGUUAAUGCACUUGAAACUGAGGGUGCUUAGUAUAUUAUAAAUGCUCAAUAA
rnacentral:lncRNA from 1 species